GGCUGGUCCAAUGGUAGCAGGUUACCAGAACUCAUUAACAUUAGUGUCACUAAAGUUAGUAUACUGCCCCCCAUUGCUAAAUUUGAGUGUCUUAA
rnacentral:Y_RNA from 1 species